rnacentral:rRNA from 1 species
UACAGGGGGUGCAAACGUUGCUCGGAAUCACUGGGCGUAAAGCGCACGUAGGCGGCUCGCUAUGUCGGAUGUGAAAGCCCUUGGCUUAACCGAGGAAGUGCAUCCGAAACUGGCGAGCUAGAGUACUAGAGAGGAUCGCGGAAUUCCCGGUGUAGAGGUGAAAUUCGUAGAUAUCGGGAGGAACACCGGUGGCGAAGGCGGCGAUCUGGGUAGAUACUGACGCUGAGGUGCGAAAGCGUGGGGAGCAAACAGG